CGUAGGGGGCGAGCGUUGUCCGGAAUCAUUGGGCGUAAAGAGCGCGUAAGCGGCCCGGAAAGUCGGAUGUGAAAACCUGGGGCUCAACCCCAGGCCUGCAUCCGAUACUCCCGGGCUCGAGGCAGGUAGGGGAGAUCGGAAUUCCUGGUGUAGCGGUGAAAUGCGCAGAUAUCAGGAGGGACACCGGUGGCGAAGGCGGAUCUCUGGGCCUGUCCUGACGCUGAGGCGCGAAAGCUAGGGGAGCGAACAGGAUUAGAUACCCUGGUAGUCCUAGCCGUAAACGUUGGACGCUAGGUGUGGGCGGUAUCGACCCCGUCCGUGCCGAAGCUAACGCAUUAAGCGUCCCGCCUGGGGAGUACGGCCGCAAGGCUA
rnacentral:rRNA from 1 species